AUUUAUAAUGGCCUCGGCGACAGGAUACUUACUUUGUUUUAGAAAUUUUUAUUCUAAGGGUAUUUCAGAAUAUUUGUGAGUUUCUAAUAGACGCCCACAAUUGAGUUAAGAUAGAAUGAGGCAGCCUGGGGUUUCAGAAAAAACUCAGAAAACACAUUCCACCAAGAGAAACUGUGUUCAGCAUUGGUGGGUUCUCAAUCUCAUCUACUUCCAGAAUGAAGUCACAGACACUCACGGUGUUCCUUUCCUUUCCUCCUGAGCAGGUAUUCAUUACACUGAAGAUCAACCCGCACAGGCUGACCCAAGAAGAGCUCAAUUUUUUGGAGGUGGGGAAUUUGCUCAACAGGCCCUCAGGGAAAGGUAAAGUAUGCAUCCCUCUGAGGACCCUUCUGCUUCCUGUGACCCCAGCUGCUUGCUUUAGAUACUUCCUUCCCAAGCUUUUUUGGGGUGGAGCUCGCUACUCAUUAAACUGUAAGGCGAUGUACUGGGUGUUUCCUGCAGACACACAGGCUCUCUGUGCCUGAAGAAGUAGGUCUGGCAGGAUUAUGCCCUCCAGAGAAAAAGCGAAGGUAAGAGGUGCAGAGGGGAAAUCUCACAAUGGCAUUUUUUUGGUCGUUCCUGACCCAACAUAAGCCAAAAAAGGAUAUUCUUGGCCAGGCGCGGUGGCUCACGCCUGUAAUUCCAGCACUUUGGGAGGCCGAGACGGGCAGAUCACGAGGUCAGGAGAUCAAGACCAUCCUGGCUAACACAGUGAAACCCUGUCUCUACUAAAAAUACAAAAAAAUAGCCAGGCGAGGCAGCAUGCGCCUGUAGUCCCAGCUACUUGGGAGGCUGAGGCAGGAGAAUGGCGUGAACCCAGGAAGUGGAGCUUACAGUGAGCCGAGAUCGCGCCACUGUACUCCAGCCUGGGCAACAGAGCGAGACUCUGUCUCAAAAAAAAAAAAAAAAAAAAGAUAUUCCUUUUUGUUUUGAUCAAGCUAGCCUGAUUAGGAUAUCCAUGAAUCCUUAUAGCUAUUUUUAUUUUAUUUUGAGACAGGGUCUGGCUCUGUCACCCAGGCUGGAGUGCACAACCACAGCUCACUGCAGCCUCUACCACCUGGGCUCAAGCCAUCCUCCCACCUCAGCCUCCUGAGUAGCUGGGACUACAGGUGUGUGCCACCACAUCCAGCUAAUUUUUCUAUUUUCUGUAGAGACAGGGUUUCACCAUGUUGGCCAGGCUGGUCUUGAACUCCAGGGCUCAAGUGACCCACCCGCCUUGGCCUCCCAUACUACUGGGAUUACAGACAAGGCCAACCGUGCCCGGCCAGGUAUUUUUAAAAAUUGUGUAUUUCUCAGCCAGAUGCGGUGGCUCAUGCCUCUAGUAGCAGCACUUGGGAGGCUGAGGCAGGAGGAUGGCUUCAGCUUAGAAGUUUGAGACCAGCCUGGGCAACAUAGUGAGACACCAUCUCUACAAAGAAUAGAAGAAAAUUAGCUGGGUGUGGUGGCGCAUGCCCAUGGUCCCAGCUGCUCAGGUCCCAGGCUGAGGUAGGAGGAUUGCUUGAGCCUGGGAGGUCAAGGCUGCCAUGAGCAGUGACUGCACCACUGCACUCCAUCCAGCCUAGGCAAUGGAGUAGUAUCUCAUCUCAAAAAAAAAAAAAGAAAAAAUUGUCUAUUUCUAAAAAGCUGUGUUUAAACCUCAUCAUUUCCCCUCAAACAAGUAGCUUGUAUAAAACUACUCAUAACAUGAACAUGCUAAAGAAAUUAUUUUGAAUGAUGAAAAUUUAUUUUGUACAUUAUAUUAAAAUUUAUUUUCUAUGUAUACCCAAAUUUUCAAGUAUUAGAUUUACUUACAAAUUCAUCAGUGUUAUCAUUAUACAAUUGGCUGGAAUUAACAGUUGCAAUAUACUUAUUCUAGCUUUUCAUAUUCAAGUUGAAUGAUCAGGAAAGUGUAUGAGUCACACAGAAUUAAAUAUUUUAGAUAGUAAGAAUCUUACACUUUAUUAGAUAAUAAAACAUAAUUGAAUAUCUGCUUAAGUAACAAAACAGUUAAGAAACUGGGUUAUAAGCGAAGGAAUGUAAGUGUAAAAUGUGUAGAAAGAUAAAUAUUUUCCAAAUAAAAUUCUAAUAAAAGGCUAAACAUUCUCAAAUAUUUUACAUACAUGAAGAAUAAAUUAUUUCUGGUUAACAUGUUUUUGCCUUAGUGCCAAAAAAGCCACAACCAAUUUGAUGAACUUAAAGUUUUCUAGACAUGAAUUCUAUUAUAACAUCUCUAUAUUUGUUUACAAUUUUGCAAAAUUCUUAGAAGAUCACAUGUUAGGGUGGGGGAAGAUAAUUGCUUGCCAAUACUGACAUGGUUAAUUAAUAGACAGGCCUGAAAGGAGGAGGCUAGAAGAGGGAAGAUUAUGUCACUAAGCAUAGCUACAAAGGGAAAAGCCACAUGGAAGCGGAGACAAAGGCUAUCCCGGCACACAGAGGCAUGUUUGCUGUGGCUCAGGCUUUCUGUUUCUCAAGUGUUCAGAGACGAAUUCCAGCAAGACUUCUGGUUUGAGUCAAGCCUUUCAACUGAGCUGCUUGGCAUACUUAACGGAAAAAGCGAGUACAUUCAGAUUUCGUUUUGCUAG
rnacentral:lncRNA from 1 species